rnacentral:lncRNA from 1 species
CUCCUGUCUAUAAAUCUUCUUUCCUUGGCAGGGUUAUUAAGAACAACUGGCUGAAGCAGCACUGUUGUUAGCUGAGAUUCUUGCUGUCCUAUGAACCUGUCAGCCAAGUUACAGGAGUAAGUAUAGAGAAUCAAUAGUCUUUUUGGCAAAGAAAAGGAGCUGACAUUGAUUCUUCCAACUCUGGCAGGUGCCUUUCAUACUGUGCCCUUCGAUGUGUGAUCAAGGCCUGUCUCUGGCCCCACUGCAGCCUUGCAGGGUGUUCAGCAAAGGAGGAAGGAGAGUCCUAUGAAGCCACAUCUUCCCUACAUUCCACAAGCUGAGGAAUGGGUUGUGGUUCCUUGUUUACGUGGCAGCUGUCAAGGACUACAUGAGACAAUGUGCUGGGCAGCAACAUUGCAUGAGCAUGGGCUGCCUUUGAUGUUUCUGGGAAGGCUCUUGGCAGAGUCUGGAUCUGAACACCUCUCCAGAUCAGUGGCUUUCUGAGCUGCUCCCUCAGGUCACGUACAGGCUCCUGUGGACAGCUGUGGCAGAGCUCCUGCUUCGGGCACAGAGAGAAGAGCCCCCUCAGCCACAGCUGGGCUGUCAGCAUGAGUAAGGCAGGCUGGGUUUGAGCCUCUGGGGAUAGAGAAAGAACCUCAUGCUCACCUGCCCCAAAUCUACCCUUUAAGCAGAAGUAAAGAAAAAGAUGGCUUAGCUACUGUAGUGCUCUCCUUUUCCUGGGCCAUUUUGCCAUGAAAAGCUAAUUAACUGGUUUACUUCACACUGACUACAACAAUGUGGGUAGCUGCCAAAAAGCCUGCUGAGCAAAAAAUGAUGGCUCCUAGCUGUUCCUUGCUCUGACAACCUCCCAUGUGGGAACAGGGCUGUCUGGCUGCAGUAGCAGCAACAUUGCUGAGUCAAGACCCCAAAGUAAUCCUUACUAAAGGGAGUUCUCAUAUGAGGACAUCUAUCCCUCUGAUUUUCCAUGCUGAAGCAAUGUAAAACCACCGUCCACUCAGUCCCUUUUGUACAUGCACCUGUUGUGUUUGCCUUAUUGAGACAGAUGAAGUGACCCUACAGUCAAGUUUUGUGCUACACAACCAGUUCUCUCAAACAUUAUUGGCCAUUUUUCCUUUGAGAGAGCUGCAGCACUGGGGCUGGACUGUGGACUAGCUAUGCUCUUGGGGCUUUUCAGGUCAGAUGAUAUAGGAAUAUGCACCAUUAACUUCCUUCUUCAACAAUAAAGAUCCCUAUCAUCUCCA